rnacentral:tRNA from 1 species
AUUUAAAUAGCUUAUUUUUAGAGCGUAACACUGAAGAUGUUAAGGAAAUAAUUUUAUUUUUGAGUA